AUUGAACGCUGGCGGCAGGCCUAACACAUGCAAGUCGAGCGAGCGGCGGACGGGUGAGUACUGCCUAGGAAUCUGCCUGGUAGUGGGGGAUAACUACUGGAAACGGUAGCUAAUACCGCAUACCAUCGGAUGUGCCCAGGUGGGAUUUGCUAGUAGGUGGGGUAAAGGCUCACCUAGGCGACGAUCCCUAGCUGGUCUGAGAGGAUGACCGGCCACACUGGAACUGAGACACGGUCCAGACUCCUACGGGAGGCAGCAGUGGGGAAUAUUGCACAAUGGGCGAAAGCCUGAUGCAGCCAUGCCGCGUGUAUGAAGAAGGCCUUCGGGUUGUAAAGUACUUUCGGCGGGGAGGCGUUACCCGCAGAAGAAGCAACGGCUAACUCCGUGCCAGCCGCCGCGGUAAUAC
rnacentral:rRNA from 1 species